GAUGAAGAACGUAGUGAAUGCGAUAAGUAAUGUGAAUUGCAGAAUUCAGUGAAUCAUCGAAUCUUUGAACGCACAUUGCGCCCCCUGGUAUUCCGGGGGGCAUGCCUGUUCGAGCGUCAUUUCACCACUCAAGCCUCGCUUGGUAUUGGGCAACGCGGUCCGCCGCGUGCCUCAAAUCGACCGGCUGGGUCUUCUGUCCCCUAAGCGUUGUGGAAACUAUUCGCUAAAGGGUGUUCGGGAGGCUACGCCGUAAAACAACCCCAUUUCUAAGGUUGACCUCGGAUCAGGUAGGGAUACCCGCUGAACUUAAGCAUAUCAAUAAGCGGAGGA
rnacentral:misc_RNA from 1 species